rnacentral:misc_RNA from 1 species
GUUUGAAUAAUGGCCAACUAAAUCUUCACAUUUGAUUGGUAUUUUAAAUGAAUUCGAUUUUUUGUUGAUAGUUGAUAUUAAUGGGCAACUGAUUCAGAGGAAUAACUUUUUUUUUUUCCAGUUGUGUGCUUCACCUUGGAAUGGUAGAGAUAAAGAGCUAGUGACACAUUUGCUUUGGCAAAGAUAUGCUCUUAAGGAGAAAAUUACAGAGUUGGAGGAGAUUAAUAAUAAAAUUAUUGAGAAAUGAAUGCAACUUAGUGAAAAAUAUAAUCAAAAUGAUAUACUAAUUAAUGUAUUGAAUAGUAAAGUUAAAGUGUUGACAAAGAAAAAAAAUAAAAGGGAAAAAUAGUUUGUUUGAAAAAAGAAUUAACUGUGUAAAAGAG